CGAGAUCGAGAGAUGGAGCAAAUCCCAAAAAUAAACGUCCCAGUUCGGACUGUAGUCUGCAACCCGACUACACGAAGCUGGAAUCGCUAGUAAUCGCGGAUCAGAAUGCCGCGGUGAAUACGUUCCCGGGCCUUGCACACACCGCCCGUCACACCAUGAGAGUCGGGAACACCCGAAGUCCGUAGCCUAACAGCAAUGAGGGCGCGGCCGAAGGUGGGUUCGAUAAUUGGGGUGAAGUCGUAACAAGGUAGC
rnacentral:rRNA from 1 species